CAAAACUCGUAUCUUUUUACAAGAACUGCAUCGUCCCCGAGCUCAUUCUGCGAAGAGUUCCAAAAAACCAAAAAUGCGUCGAAAUUUCAGACUUGCCUGCUGAUCAUCAAAAACAAUAAACGUCGGACAACGGACAGUUCACGUCACGUCAUCCCUGUAAAGAUGAAAAAAAAAAUAGUAUAGUAUUUGUAAAUAUAUACUCAUGUACAUAGUAAAA